AGUUCUACCAUAAUAAAGGUUUAAGGUAAGUCUGAAACCAUUCAAGCUCUUAUUGAAGUGCUACAAAUAUUCUAUCCUUAUGGGUUCUAAGAUGCUCAUUCACAGGCUCAAAGCUGAAUUUCACUCUUUGAUAGAAGCAAGAAGCUGAUAUUAAAGUAAAAGCUAAGAUAAAGUCCUCCGGAUUACAAUGUUAAUCAGAACAAAUAGCUGGGAGAAAAUAUUCAAAAUGAACAGUCUGUCACUGAAGUCAGCAAGUGUGCAGAAAAGGAACUAAAUUUGGGCAUGGGAGACAUCCCAAGGGUUAAGGCAUAUCUGAUUGAUGGUGAGAACAAAGUGUCCUCACCUGGACACCAGGGAUGCCCUCAUUGAGGGUGGCAAAACAGGACAAUGUGGGAAGAAAAAGGUCCUUUGGAAAGGAGACAAACUACUCAGCCAGGUAGAUAGGAAGAAGAAAGGCUCCAACUGCUCUACAGGUUAAGAUACACACAUGUGAUGCCAGAACAGACUUCUCUAAGAACUCAUUCCAGGUAUCCAAGAUCAAGAGGGAUAAUUACAUAUGAUAGAAUGCACAGAGAAGAGUAAUCAAGGUGGACAUGAACUUGUGCUAUGUAAGUUAUGGGUUGAAGAACUCUGUGUGGAAAGCAGAGAAGAAAAAACUUAGGGAACAAGCAAUAGUUGAGUACAACCAUGUGAAACUACAAGAACUGUGUGAGAGAGGGUUUGGAUCCAAAGAUGAAAACAGCUGAAACAAGAGUGGAUUUUCUAUAGAGCUGUUUGAGCAGAGAUAACUUGAAGAUGAUACAGUGGGUAAAACACAACCUCUAGGUGGUUUGAAGACCUCAGGACAUCAGUACCUCCCCAAACUCUCAUAUGCUCUAUAGUUUUUCUAGAAAUGCCCAUGUAUUGGGACAUAACCUAUAAAGAUGAUAGCAACUAAAAUGGAUAAAUCAAUGACAUAAAAUGUU